rnacentral:tRNA from 1 species
GUUAGCUCAGUUGGUAGAGCGCUGCUCCACCUGCAAAUGUAGAGUUCCCGGGUUCGAUACCCGGACCAGGUG